rnacentral:lncRNA from 1 species
UGUUGCUGUUAAUAAGUCACUCACUACCUGCUUAGAAGUCACUCACUACGAGUAAUCCUAGUUUUCUUACCAGUGAUAUUUCAGCUGUGGAAUUUGAACUUCACUUUUGACCUUAGCCGGAGAAGGGGAAUCUAAAGGAUUGCAACUACGUGCUCGCUUUUCCGUGCUAACCAGAGCAGAGCCAGUAGCAAGUGGUAGAUUUUAGUAAAGUUCUGGUUCUUGUUGAAUACCGAGUAGAUGUACUGGAUUUCUGUCUUUCCUUCCCUAGUGGGUUGAAGCUAAGUGCUUUGUUUUCGGGAGCUAAAUUAAGUAUAUAGUAAGCUCAAUUAAGUAUAUAGUAAGAUGUACCUCUGGCUAAUGAUUCCGUUUCUUUUGCAUCGUAUAAAGAAGCAGUUCGAAAGGAAGCAAAAACACAGGACUUAUUCAUAACCGAUCGAAAGAUGUAGCUAAUGUUGGCACUUCAGUACAAGAUAAGAAAUGAUUUGUUGCAUACUAGAAGUGGAAGCGGGUAAGUCGGCUCGAUCUGAAGCUGUUUCAAGAGAAGAAUGCCCAGAUUAACCAGCAAGCGGGAGGGAAAGGGGAGUUCACUCUUUGUCAGCAACAAUUGGUUAUGCUAGUCAAGUUUCGUAUUCAAGGAUAGGUCAAGGGUGAAAGCUCAGGAUCAGUAAGCUACUCAAUUCCUUUCAUAUAGGUGGGUGAGAGAGAUUUCAUGAAAGUUUAAGUCGACUCUCAAUCUAGGUUUACAUCCCCUUAAAGUAGUCGUCAAAGUCGUCCAAGCAUAUAGUUCGACAGAAUUGAAUGAUGAAUGCAAAGGCGAAAGUGAACUAAUAUUGCCUUGCCAGGAAUGCAGGGGUCAGAACAAAAUCAAUCUUCAGCGCGGUGUCAACCAGUAAAGAAGGGUUCUUGGCCAAACAAAGUCUAUGAGAUCAGAAACCGAAGAUAGAGUCAGAUGCCUAAGAAAUAUAUGAAGCUGCAGUAGUUGCUAAGGUCGAAAACAGGAACGAUUGAACUCUGGAAUUGUAAUAAGAAAGGAACGAAAACAGGACUUGGCGGA